UGCAGAUGAUGUGAAAGAAUAUUUGCUAUCUGAAAGAUGGUGAUGACAUUUAGACCACCAAGAUCGCUGAUGCA
ensembl:snoRNA SNORD24 Small nucleolar RNA SNORD24